rnacentral:antisense_RNA from 1 species
AGUUUGAGAAAAGAGGACACAAGAGCAUGAAUAACAGGAGGAUGGAUAUAGAAUACCAGCAUCAGCAAGUGUACACGAUUUACAGCACAUUUGGUAUCUAUUACCAAGCUGCCCUUCAGAGAGGUUGUCUCUGUUACACGUUCCACAGCUGUGACUGAGAAAGCCUCUUGUCGCAUUUGACAGUCCAGGUAUUUCCGAAGUGAUGCAUGCUCCCUGGGAAGCACUGGGAAUUCUGCACUUCUGGGCCAACCAGCUCCAACUGCAGCCAAUGUUUGAAAAAUAGCAUCUCUCCCUUCCUUCUAUAGGUACAAAUCUUCAGCGAUUUAGCAAAUUCUCUUAAAUAGCUAGAAGACCUUGCUGACUUCGAUGCAAAUAUUCUGGCCAGAGAACUGAGGUCCUUGGAUGAAACCCAAUAAUCAGAGGGGUCACAGUUUCCUUAGCCUGGGAGGAAGGCAGCUGGUGUCUCAGCAGAUGUUCCUAAAAGCCUGGCUUUUUCCACAUCUGUUCCGUGUGGUGGAGAGGGAGAAGAGGAAGGGAGAGAGGGAACAGAGAGGAAGCAGAGAGAGCUGAAGAUUAAAACAAUACUGUACAGGUCCCCGCUAAAGAUGGACUCUCUGGCCGCCAGGAAAGGACUGAGAGAUAAAUAGGAGGAGCAAAAUCUCGUGAGCAUAAGAACCUGGGAGCUGGAGGCUGGUCCACCCACCCUCAGCUUCCAGGACCCAGAGGGAGGCAGGCACAGCCGGCCUUGGCCCUGUGGAACCAACACCUUCCAGCCAGCCUGCCAGGAAGCCAAAUUCCAAAUGUCUAACUGUAUUUUGCACUCUUCCACAAUGUUAGCAAAAAUUAGAAAGUCAGCUAAUGCCAAGUGUUGGCUGGAGUUGGAGGGGGGAAGAGGAACCCUUGUUUUCUGCAAGGGAAUAUGAGAAGGUGCAGCCACUCUGGAGAGCUGUCUGACGGUGCUAGUUCAAGUCGACUGUGUAAAUCUUCUGCCCGUGACUCAGCAAUGCCACUCCUCGGUAUGUGGCUCAGAGACACUCUCUGUCCAAAAGGAGCAUGUGGGGAGGUGCCCAUUCAGCAUUGUUUCUGGCAGGGUCGUUGGCCACUCAGGCACCCAUCCCUGGGGAAGAUAGAAGUAAAUGUGGUGGGUGCACACCUUGGAGAAGCAUCUAUCAGUCAGAAGCAAGGAAGGGGAUGUCCACACAGAUUUAGGUAGCUUACGUUAGAUACUAUGUUCAAAUUCAAGGAUGCACAUCAGAUGCACAGAAAGGCUGCCUGUAGGGGAAGGGACUGCAAGUGGAGAAUGGGGAUUGUAGUGGAUUGAAGAUGGUCCCAAAUUCCUUGACACUCCCUGCAUGGAGAGGUGAGGUGGGGUGCCCUGCGCAGGCUUGUGACUGCUUGACCAAUAGAAUACAGCAGAAGUGGUGCUUGUCAGUUUCCAGGCCUGGGCCUUAAGAGGGUGGCAGUUCACCUCACCUCUCUUAGGACACUCUCUCUGGGAGCUUGAAGCUGCCGUGUAAUCAACUGCCCUAACACCACCAGGAUGGAGAAGCCGUGUUCAGGAGCUCUGGCUUGUGGUCCCAGCUGAGCCUAGCCUUGCAGCCAGCCCCCACCAGCCAAUGUCACCAGACAAUGUGAGUGAAGCCAUCCUGGGAUCUCUAGGCCAGCCCAGCACACCUACAGGCUGAUUACCAUGGAAUGACCUCAGUUGGCACCACAUUCAUCAAGAGAAUCAACCAGCUGAGUCCUGCAAAUCCCAAAUCCACACACUUGCAAUAUGAUAAAGUAUCUAACUUUGGGGGUA